rnacentral:rRNA from 1 species
UGGGAAUUUGGACAAUGGGCGAAAGCCUGAUCCAGCAAUGCCGCGUGUGUGAAGAAGGCCUUCGGGUUGUAAAGCACUUUUGUCCGGAAAGAAAUCCUUGGCUCUAAUACAGUCGGGGGAUGACGGUACCGGAAGAAUAAGCACCGGCUAACUACGUGCCAGCAGCCGCGGUAAUACGUAGGGUGCAAGCGUUAAUCGGAAUUACUGGGCGUAAAGCGUGCGCAGGCGGUUUGCUAAGACCGAUGUGAAAUCCCCGGGCUCAACCUGGGAACUGCAUUGGUGACUGGCAGGCUAGAGUAUGGCAGAGGGGGGUAGAAUUCCGCGUGUAGCAGUGAAAAUGCGUAGAGAUGUGGAGGAAUACCGAUGGCGAAGGCAGCCCCCUGGGCCAAUACUGACGCUCAUGCACGAAAGCGUGGGGAGCAAACAGGAUUAGAUACCCUGGUAGUCCACGCCCUAAACGAUGUCAACUAGUUGUUGGGGAUUCAUUUCCUUAGUAACGUAGCUAACGCGUGAAGUUGACCGCCUGGGGAGUACGGUCGCAAGAUUAAAACUCAAAUGAAUUGACGGGGUCC